rnacentral:rRNA from 1 species
AGAGACAGCAGCCGCCGCGGUAAUACGAAGGGUGCAAGCGUUAAUCGGAAUUACUGGGCGUAAAGCGUGCGUAGGCGGUUUGUUAAGUCUGUUGUGAAAUCCCCGGGCUCAACCUGGGAAUGGCAAUGGAUACUGGCAAGCUAGAGUGUGUCAGAGGAUGGUGGAAUUCCCGGUGUAGCGGUGAAAUGCGUGGAGAUCGGGAGGAACAUCAGUGGCGAAGGCGGCCAUCUGGGACAACACUGACGCUGAGGCACGAAAGCGUGGGGAGCAAACAGGAUUAGAUACCCGCGUAGUCCCUGUCUCUUAUAC